rnacentral:rRNA from 1 species
UACGUAGGGAGCAAGCGUUGUCCGGAAUCAUUGGGCGUAAAGCGCGCGUAGGCGGCCCUGUAAGUCCGCUGUGAAAGUCAAAGGCUCAACCUUUGAAAGCCGAUGGAUACUGCAGGGCUGGAGUCCGGAAGAGGCGAGUGGAAUUCCUGGUGUAGCGGUGGAAUGCGCAGAUAUCAGGAGGAACACCGAUAGCGAAGGCAGCUCGCUGGGACGGUACUGACGCUAAGGCGCGAAAGCGUGGGGAGCGAACAGG